AAAAAAUAGUUGUGCCCAUUAGUCAUGAUAACUUCUAAUUCAUUGUCAGUAUGACUACAAAUUAUUGAAACAGUUGGGAUAACUCAGAAUUUUGUGUUUGUCUUCUCAACUAGUGAAAAGUUUUCAAACUAAGAAACAUGAUUCAAUUGAAAUUAAGAAUGUCAGUCAAAAGGAUGUACGGAUAAUCGCUUCUGUCAUUGGCUGCCUACAAAAACCUAAAAAACGUUUGCAGGCAAAAAACCAUUCUGCUGCCGCUCAUUUUCACCAUAUUGAAGUCGGUUCGGUAGUUUGGAUUACCCUGCUAGAAUCAGAGAUCUCUAAAAUAGAUCGUUUAUUUGAAAAUAAAAGAGAGAAAACUAUUUUUUAAAGCCUUUUCUGGAUAUCUCUGAUAUAGUGAAACUUCAGUGUAACUGCGUGUCGCGCGUGACCCCGCCACUCUAUCUCCAGCGCGAGGCCGAGCUGAUGGCCGAGCAGUGCACCGGGCAGAUGAGUUCAAUGUGACGGAGAAACCCACAGCCGUCGCACAGAGACACUCUCCUUUCUCCUCAGGAAGAAACUGGUGCCUGCUCCACAGUUUGUCAUCACGGUCCUGGUCUGAUAUGCUCCAUUUCGCCUCCUCUUGAUCAAUGAGAUGGAUAUGUACGUUUUACACGUACGUCACAAGAAAUCGUCGAAGAAUCCUUGAACACUACAGAUCCAGUCAUGGUCACUAUGGAAGAAGACUAGCUCUCCCCUGCAUUUACAGCGAUUGUGUGUGCUAUUUCCCAUCACAAAAGGCUCUCCAAACACAUGUGAGGCAACAUGGAUUUAGUAGCAGUGAACCGGUGAACUUCAGAAUUAGAUGCCAUUUAUGUGACUUUGAAGAACCUGCAGACGUUAAACUAUACUUUCGUCAUCUUGGCACACAUUUGAGAAAUAAGGAAACUGUAAUUUGCCCUUUUAAUAGUUGUGCUUUUAAAUCAAGCGUUAACUCCAGUUUUUCAUCACACAAAAGUCGAUAUCACAACUCUCUUUGUUAUCAGCAGCAACCUCACUAACUCACACAUACUUAUACUCUUACUGUUCGUUGAUUGUUAUUGAAGUGAGGUGUCCUCAUCGCUACAUCUACUUGACUGGCUAGUUGCUUUAAUUGUGUAUUCUGUCUCUUAACAGAAUUCCAACCAAAGAAAAGAGGAUGUCAUUCUGAGGGGCCUGCCGUAUUUCCUCCGUGAAGAUCCUUCAAAGUUCCUCAGGACUGCAGAGCCCACAGACAUGGAGGACAGCAUGACUAGGGGAAUGAAUGUCGGCAUUGUCGUAGUCAAACAAGGAGAGGAUCUUCUUGACAUAUCGGUGGUCCUAGAGGAACAGAUCAUUCUGCAUGGAAUCAAGGACUACUCACAUGCAGUCGUUAUGUUAAUGGGGCUGCUAUAUGCACUGAACAUUGACUACCCGAAGGAGCUGCAAUACACCUUCGAAGUCAUUCAGAAGGUUCUCAUGAACAUCGGCAGUGAGAACUGCUCCAGGGUUCAUGGACUGAGGAAUAGACUUUUUCGUAAAACUGUGUAGACACUACACUGAGACUGAGAGUUUUCUUUUGAGUUCUGUUACUACUAUUCUGUUACUACUAUCUGUUACUAGUUCAUUACUUUUGUAAUGGUCAAUGACAUUCUCAGUUGCAAGAGUUGACAGAAGUAGACUGGGUUUGAGGUCUUUCCUGGAAAGUCUUUUUGACCUGUUUGGUUCUGCAUCAUUUUAUUUUAUAUAAAUUAUACUCAUUACGUCUGUCAUGUUAUGACAGACGUAAUGAGUAGAGAACUAAUUUUUGUUAUUCUAAAUGUGUUAUUGUAAUAUUCUAAAUAGGCACACACACACACACGGCUCUCUCAUUUUUUUUGUAUACAUCCCAUAUCUGCUUCCUCUGGUCUCAUCUCCCAUAUUGCUAAUUAAUGUUUUAUUUUCUCUUUAAUAAAACAGUGACACACACACACACCUCUGUUUAAAUAUUUCUCUCCCGCCUGCCUCACUUCCCCUCACUUCAUCUUGUCAUUGCCUGUCAGUAGGGAUCCUUCUCUUGCUGGUACUCAAUGGACGUAAUGAGUACUCAUUUGUGUUAUUCUAAAGAGGAGAUGUUUUACCCAUAAGCUUGUGCUGUUUUUGGGGACGUUUUGUACUUGAUGGGAUGUGUUGCUGUGUUUACCUUGCCCAUCUGGUUUAUUAAAGCUUUGAAGAAAUGUUAAGCUUGCUGGUAGUUCUACCAGGAGGACUCAAAUCACUCGCGGCUGGCCGUCAAUCACCAAUCAGCAGCUACCAAUCACCUGCCUACACCUGCUCUAUAAAGAGUAGUCUAACAUAUGUCUUUGCUGCUCAGGUCUUCGUUCGACGCAUGCUGCUGCUUUACUGUGCUUCUGAUUAUCUCGCAUAUCUCGUCGCUUAGUUACGUCGGUUAAUACACACCAAGAGGUCAUAACUUUGGAUUCGUGCUGGUCGGCCUACUACUUCUGGUCCGGGCAAGUGAGCGCAGAAAGCCGUUAAUUUCGGUCCCCGGUAUCCUCAACAACACCACCAAGAAGUUCCCAACACGGACAUCCGCCUGGUUCUACAAACCCUCGCCGAGUUGGUGCAAAGCAUUUGGCGCCAGGAUGGACGCCGUCGAAACACCAUGCGGAACUCCCGGACGGGUCCAGGCCCCCAACCCGCUGUCGUCAGUCGCCACGGCGCCUUUCUACUUCCAGCAACCAUCAGGCUCGGCUUCCCCCCUUCUUCACAGGCUACGCACCUGGCACGUGCCCUGCUACCAUGGCUAUUGCAGUCCCCGCGUUAGCCCCCGCAGCGUAUUCUCUCUCACAGCUCUACCAGUCCAGCUUCAGGAUGCGGCUCCCUCGGUCGGGUUAGGGGGGUUUCUUCCAAGGGCAAUGGUUUGCUGAGAGAUGGCCAGUCGAAGCUGGCACGUUUGCCCUCGGGUCAGAGUCGUCUGCGCUGUUCGAGCUUUACCCUAUCGUAGCAGCUAGCGUUCUGUGGGGCAAAGCAUGGCGGUGUUAACGUAUAACCAUGUUUUGCGAUAACAAAGCAGCGUCAACGGCUGGGAAGGUGGUCUUCCACAGCAUACGGAUUUUACAUCCGGUUGAAUUCGGUGAGUUCGUUGCACACGUCGGUGUGGUUCAACGCAGAACUCUACGUUCGCAAUCAAAGGUUCAUAAUUAUCUUUAUACCGUGUACUAAAAAAUGUGUAAGUUUUCUCUUCAUAACGCCACCUCAAGUGUUUUAUUAGCCGUUUUCUGUUAUUACUUUUUGCUGGAGAAGGAGGGGUGGGCAGCCGAAAGGAGUCAUAGCGAGACAUGUUUCGGCCUGGCAUUCGAGAGGGCCUAGUGAACUGUUCGGUUAACUUCUUGUGUCUGAGGUUUUUCCCUUCACUUUAACAUGAAUGAUGUUUAUGGGUUUUAGGCACUGUGGUAACUGAAUAUCACUAAGGUUUUUAUUGACGAAGGGACUUUUAGAUUGGUUCAGCUGCUGCUCACUAACUCUCACGUUCCUCUGCUCGCGAUGCGAUUCACAUAUCGAUCAAUUUAUUGAUUUAUUUAUAUAUAAAAGAUCCAAAGACAAAGAACAGGUACAUUAUGGUAUCAUUUUAUAUUAUUAUUUAUAGUCUUAUUGUUAAUGGCUUCAGUCGCGUUGGUAUUUAAUUUUUCAUUUGCUCGUUUAUGUAUGACAGUUAACAAUGUUGGUGUAUUACAAUUAUUUACGCGUGUAGGCCACUCCAACUCGAUAUUUCAAAUAGAUUAGUGUGCUCUAUCAGAGCUGGGAGAUUUCAUCCUUAUUUUAACAUAUUACUCGAGACGGUGUUUCUCACAGCGUUCUCGGGUUCAUGCGUUCUCGGGUUCAUGCGUUCAUGCGUCCAUGCAUACAUGUCUCCUACUCAGACUUUUCCCCUACACGGGGUAUUUAAUUUUUCAUUUGCUUGUUUAGCUAUGUAUGACAGUUAACAAUUUUGGUGUAUUACAAUUAUUUAUGUGUGUUGGCCACUCCAACUCACACUCGAUUUUUUGAAUAGAUUAGUGUGCUCUCUGGGAGAUUUCAUCCUUAUUUUAACAUAUUACUCGAGACGGUGUUUCUCACAGCGUUCUACGGGUUCACGCGUUCUACGGGUUCACGCGUUCUACGGGUUCACGCGUUCUACGGGUUUACGCGUUCCACGGGUUUACGCGUUCCACGGGUUUACGCGUUCCACGGGUUUACGCGUUCCACGGGUUUACGCGUUCCACGGGUUUACGCGUUCCACGGGUUUACGCGUUUUACGGGUUUAUGCGUUCUUGCGUUCAUGCGCAAAUGCGUACACGUCUCCUACUCAGACUUUUUCCCCUACACGGGGCCUGACUUUCGCCGACGUCACCUUCUCUUUCUUGCAAGGCAUUUUUCCAUCUAAAAGCGAUAGCCUAGGAGCAGCUGUUACUAUUAUCAUUUCAAGAAUCAACAACUCUCUGUCCUUACGCUUCCAUGUUCCUUUAUCUCAAGCUUCGGCAAUGCACGUCCCCGAAUCACCUGUUUAUUUGCGGCCUGCCAAUGCCUCAAGGGUGGUUCAGAGUCCAUCUCGCGACGGUGGUAGAAGGGUGCGGCCUACCAUCUCCCCUCUACACUCAGUGGCGCCACCAUGGGGUGGCGAGGGGUGGCUACUGCCACCCCAAAAUCAUUCUUUGCCACCCCAUUUGCCACCCCUAAGACAAUUUUUAUUAUGCAUAUUUAUUUAAAAUAUAUAAUGUAGUCUAGAUUAUAUUAUAAUGUAGUCCCCCCUCGGCCAACAAUCGCUGCCCGGGAUGUUUAUAGAUUUGCUGUGGCCCCCAUUGGCCACCCCUGGAAUAAUCUUCUGGAGGCGCCACUGUCUACACUGGCCACUCCUCCCGGAUUGGAGCGGCAACCACAGCCACUGAACAAGGGUUGCCGGUCGCGUCUAUCAAACGGCUGGGAAGGCGGUCUUCCACAGCUUACGAAUCCUACAUCCGGUUGAAUUCAUGGUUCUUUCUCCAAGCGCACACGAUGCUCUAACGUCGGUUAAGGCAGGUUUAUCACGUAUGCUACUACAGCUGUUUUUGGCGGCCUGUUUCCAUUCUAGUUUUAGUCUUGGUGUCAAGGUGUCAUUUUUGUUUUUAUUAGUUUAGUCACGUUCAUACUCUUUCCAGUGAUAUCGAAAUUCCGUUUAGGUAUUAUCAAAGAUACAAGUGCGUAGAUUUGUUAAAUAAGGUAAACGGUCGAAAAUUGAUGUCGUUAUGUCUCAACAGUUGAAGUUCCAGUUGGACAAAAUAACGUAUUACAGUUUAUCGCCUAGUUUAGGUCAACGGAAAUGAAGACAUUUUAGUAAAACACUUUCAGUCUCUUUUGUAUUCGCCAACAACAUUGCACUACGUAUUUAAUUAUAGUUAUUGUCAUAUGACCAGCAUUGUUCUCCUCACGCGAUAAAGGUUCGUUGAUGACGACAUUUAGUCAUAAUUUUCGGUGUCAAAAGCAACACUAUUUGCAACUACUGGUGGUGGUGGUGGUUGGUACUAAACUCAUAAAGCAAAAUUUGGCUAUAUAACUCAAGGUUAACCUGCAGCAACCCCGGCAAGUUUGACCACGUCGGUGGAUCAUCUAGAAAACACUCUUGAGUUCGGUGUCACGUUGGUGGCAUAUCAUGGAAAAAAUAAAACUCAAGGUUCACAGCGGCGACCCCGGUGAGUGCGUUGGCCAAAGCGCAGCGGUAACAACUCGGGCACUCGUAACUAUGACCACGUCGGUGGCACGUUAUCUAUUACUCAUGGUUGACUGCAGUAACCCCGGUGAGUGCGUUGACCAUGUCAACGCACAAUUGGGGCACAACUCAGGCACUCGUGAGUUUGUUGCACACGUCGGUGCGGUACAGUACUCAACGUCCUACAUCCGGUCGAGUUCAAGGUUCUUUCUUCAAGCGCACACGAUGCUCUCUUAACGUCGGUUAAGACAGGUUUUACACGUUUGCAACCAUAGCUGUUUUUGGCGGCCUGUUCCUUUCUAGUGUUAGUCUAGUCUUGUGUCAAGCUGUCAUUUUAGUUUUUAUUAGUUUUAGUUACAUUCAUACUCUUUCCAGUGUUAUCGUAAUUCCAUUUAGAUAUUAUCAAAGUUACAAGUGCGUAGUUUUGUUAAAUAAGGUAAACGGUUGAAAAUUGAUGUUAUUUCUGGGACAGUUGAAGUUCCAGUUGAACAAAAUAACGUUAUAAGUCUUUAUCGCCUAGUUUAGGUCGACGAAAAUGAAGAGACAUUUUAGCAGUCUUAUUUUCGUAAAACACUUUUUAGUCUUGUUUUAUUCGCCAACUAUAUUGUACUAUGCUUUUAAUCACAGCUAUUGUCACACGCCCAGCAUCCACGUUGCGUCCAGUCUCGUUUUUCUCACGCGAUAAAGGUUCGUGAUGACGAUAUUUUGUCAUUAUUUUCGUUGCUAAAAGCGACAUUAUUUGCAACUACUGGUGGUGGUGGUUAUCAGGUACUAAAGCAAAAUUCGGUUUCAUAACUCAGGUUAACCUGCAGCAACCCCGGCGAGUGUGACCACGUCGGUGGAUCAUCUAGAAAACACUCUUGAGUUCGCUGUCACGUCAGUGGCGUAAAAUAGGAAAAUAAAACUCAAGGUUGCAGCGACAACCCCGGUGAGUGCGUGACCACGUCGGUGGCACAUCAAGGGCACUCGUGAGUAUGACCACGUCGGUGGCACGUUAUCUAGUACUCAUGGUUUGACUGCAGUAACCCCGGUGAGUGCGUUGACCACGUCGGUGGGAACAACUCAAGCACUCGUGAG
ensembl:lncRNA